rnacentral:rRNA from 1 species
CAGCCGCCGCGGUAAAACGGAGGGUGCAAGCGUUAAUCGGAAUUACUGGGCGUAAAGCGCACGCAGGCGGUCUGACAAGUCAGAUGUGAAAUCCCCGGGCUUAACCUGGGAACUGCAUUUGAAACUGUCAGGCUGGAGUCUUGUAGAGGGGGGUGGAAUUCCAGGUGUAGCGGUGAAAUGCGUAGAGAUCUGGAGGAAUACCGGUGGCGAAGGCGGCCCCCUGGACAAAGACUGACGCUCAGGUGCGAAAGCGUGGGGAGCAAACAGGAUUAGAGACCCCAGUAGUCCUGUCUCUUAUACA